rnacentral:rRNA from 1 species
GAACCGCACGAACGUUAUUCGGAAUCACUGGGCUUAAAGGGUGCGUAGGCGGCCAUGCAAGUUGGGUGUGAAAUCCCUCGGCUUAACCGAGGAAUUGCGCUCAAAACUGCAUGGCUCGAGGAAGAUAGAGGUGAGCGGAACUUAGGGUGGAGCGGUGAAAUGCGUUGAUAUCCUAAGGAACACCAGUUGCGUAGGCGGCUCACUGGGUCUUUUCUGACGCUGAGGCACGAAAGCUAGGGGAGCGAAGAGGAUUAGAUACCCUCGUAGUCCUAGCUGUAAACGUUGAGCACUUGGUUGGGGAAUCCUCCAUAGUUUCCCAGCCGCAGCGAAAGCGGUAAGUGCUCCGCCUGGGAGUAUGGUCGCAAGGCUG